AUGACACUUUGGCUCCAUUUGGUUUUCUUCGUAGCGGCUCUGGAAGGGGCCCGCUCGCAGGUGGUUCUGACCCAGUCGGGGUCAGCGCUGAAGAAGCCCGGAGAGUCCCAUAAACUGCAAUGUGCCACCAGCGGGUUCACUCUUAGCAGCUACUGGAUGGGCUGGUUCAGACAGGAGCCGGGAAAAGGGCUGGAGUGGUUGGCUUACUAUUACGGUGAGUCGAACACCAAGUACUACGCCUCCUCCGUCCAGGGCCGAUUCACAGCCUCCAAGGACAGCACCACCUUCUACCUGCAAAUGACCAGCCUGAAAGCGGAGGACACCGCCGUGUAUUACUGCGCCAGAGACACAGACCCGCUCGCAGGUGGUUCUGAGCCAGCCGGGGCCAGGCUGACGAAGCCCGGAGAGUCCCACAUGCUGCAAUGUGCCACCAGCGAGUUCACUCCUAGCAGCGCCUGGAUGUGUUGGUUCAGAUGGGAGCCCGGGAAGGGGCUGGAGUGGCUGGCCAGCUACUAUGAUCCCUCCAUCCACAGUUACGCCUCCUCCAUGCAGGGGAGAUCUACAGCCUUCAAGGACAGCACCACUUUCUGCUUGCACAUGAACAGCCUGAAAGCCAAGGACACCGCCGUGUAG